GCGAACGCUGGCAGCAGGCUUAACACAUGCAAGUCGAGCGGGCACUUUCGGGUGUCAGCGGCGGACGGGUGAGUAACGCGUGGGAACGUGCCCUCUGGUUCGGAAUAACUCAGGGAAACUUGAGCUAAUACCGGAUACGCCCUUUUGGGGAAAGGCUUGCUGCCGGAGGAUCGGCCCGCGUCUGAUUAGCUAGUUGGUGAGGUAACGGCUCACCAAGGCGACGAUCAGUAGCUGGUCUGAGAGGAUGAUCAGCCACACUGGGACUGAGACACGGCCCAGACUCCUACGGGAGGCAGCAGUGGGGAAUAUUGGACAAUGGGCGCAAGCCUGAUCCAGCCAUGCCGCGUGAGUGAUGAAGGCCUUAGGGUUGUAAAGCUCUUUUUUCCGGGACGAUAAUGACGGUACCGGAGGAAUAAGCCCCGGCUAACUUCGUG
rnacentral:rRNA from 1 species